rnacentral:misc_RNA from 1 species
CAACCCUCAAGCCCUGCUUGGUGUUGGGGCCCUACGGCUGCCGUAGGCCCUGAAAGAAGUGGCGGGCUCGCUACAACUCCGAGCGUAGUAGAAUGCUAUCAUCGCUAGGGAGUUACGGCGUGCUCCAGCCGUUAAAGACCCAUCUUUAACACAAGG